CCUACGGGUGGCAGCAGUAGGGAAUAUUGCUCAAUGGGGGAAACCCUGAAGCAGCAACGCCGCGUGGAGGAUGAAGGUUUUCGGAUUGUAAACUCCUUUUGUUAGAGAAGAUAAUGACGGUAUUUAACGAAUAAGCACCGGCUACCUCGGUGCCAGCAGCCGCGGUAAUACAGAGGGUGCAAGCGUUACUCGGAAUCACUGGGCGUAAAGAGCGCGUAGGCGGGAUAGCAAGUCAGAUGUGAAAUCCUAUGGCUUAACCAUAGAACUGCAUUUGAAACUGUUAUUCUAGAGUAUGGGAGAGGGAGGUGGAAUUCUUGGUGUAGGAGUAAAAUGCGUAGAGAUCGAGAGGAAUACUCGUUGCGAAGGCGACCUGCUAGAACAUAACUGACGCUGAUGCGCGAAGGCGUGGGGAGCAAACAGGAUUAGAUACCCCAGUAGUC
rnacentral:rRNA from 1 species